CAUGAAUAGAUUCUGCGAGCCCAUUGUCUCGGAAGGAGCUGCUGAAAUUGCUGGGUACCAAACACUAUGGGAGGCUGACAGCUACGGAGGCCCAAGCCCCCCAGGGCCAGCACAGGCUCCUUUGCAGGGAGACCGGGGAGCUGGUCCCCCACUGGCAGCUCCACUUGGUGACUUCCUUUCUGUGUAUCAGGAGCAGAGCAGAGGACAACUUGUAGAAGACAUUACCGUUAAGAGACAUCAACUUCGCAACAAAUAUAAGACAAGGAUUCCUAUGUGAUGCAGCUAGGUUUUUAUAUCCUUCUAACAAAUGUAUCUGUGACAGGCUGAAGAACGAUGACUAAACGAAGGGAAUUUACACAAGCUGGUCUGG
rnacentral:sRNA from 1 species